UUACAGGCAUGUGCCACCACACCCGGCUAAUUUCUUUUUUUAUUUUUAGUAGAGACAGGGUUUCACCAUGUUGGCUAGGCUGCUCUUGAACUCCUGACUUCAGGUGAUCCGCCCGCCUUGGCCUCCCAAAGUGCUGGGAUUACAGGCAUGAACCACCACGCCCAGCCAACAGCAAAAAUUUUAAGACCUCUAGAGAGCAAAGCAAGGAACACCAGUGGGUUUCAAAGGAAGCACAGUUUUCCUUCUCAUCAAGCCACCAACUCUAUGACAAUGGCUCUCAUUUGGGGAUGAAGCAAAGCAGUUACUGAAAAUCAAAAGAAUGUUGAGAAGAGAAAAGUUGUCAUGGAAAGAGCUCUGACCCCUAAUUCAGCUGAGGCUACCAGAGAAGCAGAGUCCCUGCCUCUUUUUUUAUCAGGCCCUUAGCAACUCACUUAUGGUGAAUACUAGUGAUGUAGUUUGCUUGUACAUAAAUUUCCUACCAAAAUGUAUGAAUUUUAUACCAUUUGGCAUUCUUUGUUUCAAUGAAUAAAUCUCAAACUUUACUCUUUUAUUUUAUUUGUCUGAUUACAUGUCUAUGUCACCAAAUCUGUGAAAUCCUGUAAGGCAGAAAAAAAUGUCUUCACAUAUCUAUACUUUAAGAUACCAAUGCUCACCUGGCAUAUGGCAGGGCACAACACGUAUUUGAUGACUAAAUGAAAAUAAUAUAAAAUAUCACCUAGUUAUACACCAAUAAUCUGAGACAUAAUUAUCAUAUCUGAGAUCUGUGUGAUUUUUUUUGAGAUGGAGUUUUGCUCUGUUGCCCAGGCUGGAGUGCAAUGGCACAAUCUCAGCUCACUGCAACCUCUGCCUCCCAGGUUCAAGCAAUUCUCCUUUCUCAGCCUCCCAAGUAGCUGGGAUUACAGGUGCAUGUCACCAUGCCUUGCUAAUUUUUGUAUUUUUAGUAGAGAUGGGGUUUCACCAUGUUGGCCAGGCUGGUCUUCAACUCCUGACCUCAGGUGAUCUGUCUGCCUCGGCCUCCCCAAGUGCUGGGAUUAUCGGAUUGAGCCACUGUAUUAUACAUGUUGUUAUUUAUUAACACAACAUCACGUUUUAAUCUUACCACAGAACCUUAAUGAAACACGGAAGCUGUUUUAUUUCCAAUUCAAACAUGAGUUAAGUAAAACACAUAAAGUUAAUUGAGUUGGCAGAGUAAAAAAGAUAGUAAGUGACAUAAUUCAGAUUUGAACUUCAUUCAUGUUGAGCCUAAAUUCGGUGUUGUUUCAAUGUGACUGAGCUAUCAGCACCUCACUUAGAUUACAUUAAGGAGUCCAUUCAUUUUAACCAUGGCCAAUGAUUUACUUAGCAGAAUUUUAUAUAAAUAAUAUUACAGAGUUUGUGAAUGUAUAAUCCCAAUAAUUAUGCAGUUCUCAAUCUUCAGUAGCAUCUAACUGUACAUACUCUGAGAAAUUUCACAUUAUAUUUACUGCACUUAAAGUACAACUGGCUCCAUUUGUUUAUUAAUGCAGGAAAAGGUGCCUUUUUAUAGAUUUUUUAAAUAGAUUAAAAAAGUGCUAUUUUAGCUUUUUAAAGUUUUGAUGGAAACUUUUCUCUAAUUGCAAUCAGUAUUAAAAAUUUGUUCUGAGUUAUAAGAAUGAAUAUAGAAAUUCACCUAUUGAGUAUUGAUGCCAUGGCAAGAAAAUUUAUCCUAGUCUUUCCUCUUCUCGUUGGAUAUUGUUAAGAGGUCAAUACAAAAUUAUAUUUAAGAGGUAAUAAAAUCAAAGUAUAGAGAGUUGAGUUGACUUAUACAUAUAUGUGUGUGUGUGAAUCGGCCUUCUUAAAAUUUCUAUGUCACAAAUCUAAAAGUGUCCUCUAAACCCUGCCUUAUAAAUAAUUAUAUGAUGACAAUUGUAUAAAGUUUAAGUUGAAUGCUAUCAGACGUCAAAGAGAAGUGGUUCUCCAGGAAAAAAUAAUAAGAAAACAAUUAUCAAAAAAGUAUCUUGACUUCUGGAUGUAAGCACUGUAACUGAAUUUUACAAUCUGAGUUGAUACAGACAUCAGUCUUUAUUGAGUUGUGAUUUUCACUUCAGACAAUAAAAAUGUAUUACCUUUUCUAUAAUUUUUACCCAGGGUAAUCUUGCUUUAAAUGUGUUUCUUAGUUGCCAAGGCAACCAGCAUUCCUUAUCUUGCCAUUUACACUUAUUUUGAACACUUAUUGUAGUUUUUUGGUCCUUUUUCUUUAAACAAUGGCCUAACAAAUACAUGCAAUAUCUGCAAAAGUUAUUAAAAAUGAUAAUUUCAAAAAUUAUUCUGA
rnacentral:lncRNA from 1 species